rnacentral:rRNA from 1 species
AACGGCGAGUGAAGCGGCAAAAGCUCAAAUUUGAAAUCCUGCGGGAAUUGUAAUUUGAAGGUUUCGUGGUCUGAGUCGGCCGCGCCCAAGUCCAUUGGAACAUGGCGCCUGGGAGGGUGAGAGCCCCGUAUGGCGCACGCCGACUCUUUGCACCGCGGCUCCGACGAGUCGAGUUGUUUGGGAAUGCAGCUCUAAGUGGGUGGUAAAUUCCAUCUAAAGCUAAAUAUUGGCGAGAGACCGAUAGCGAACAAGUACAGUGAUGGAAAGAUGAAAAGCACUUUGAAAAGAGAGUGGAAACAGCACGUGAAAUUGUUGAAAGGGAAGGGCUUGCAAGCAGACACGGUUUUACCGGGCCAGCGUCGAAAAGGGGGGAGGAACAAGAACUCGAGAAUGUGGCGCGCACCUUCGGGCGCGCGUGUUAUAGCUCGUGUUGACGCCUCCAUCCCUUUUCGAGGCCUGCGAUUCUAGGACGCUGGCGUAAUGGUUGCAAGCCGC